rnacentral:rRNA from 1 species
CCUACGGGCGGCAGCAGUAAGGAAUAUUGGUCAAUGGACGGAAGUCUGAACCAGCCAUGCCGCGUGAAGGACGAAGGCGUUCUGCGUUGUAAACUUCUUUUAUCAGAGAAGAAACCACCGAUUUCUAUUGGUGUUGACGGUAUCUGAUGAAUAAGCACCGGCUAACUCCGUGCCAGCAGCCGCGGUAAUACGGAGGGUGCAAGCGUUAUCCGGAUUUACUGGGUUUAAAGGGUGUGUAGGCGGAUUAUUAAGUCAGGGGUGAAAUCUCCGAGCUC